GGGGGGCUGGCGCAACGGUAGCGCGUCAGAUUCCAGUUUGGGGUAUCCUGAAGGUUACCGGUUCAAAUCCGGUGUCCCUCA
rfam:Pochonia chlamydosporia 170 chromosome 2, whole genome shotgun sequence.